CUGCCAGAGUUCUCCAUCACUUUCUCCAGCCUUAUGAGAGUAACUUUCUAACACUGUAUUUCAAUGUCUCCUGGCAGAAUAUUUUCCAUCUGCUUUUUAGAUGUGUGAGUGUGGGAGGGGCAGAGGAGGCUGGGAUGGCGGGGGUGGUGUCAAGGAACAACGCCAAGACAUACUGCUCUCGUUGAAAUGAUCUACUGCUUCCUUUCCGUUUCCACAGGGCUUGGUACACUGCUCUCACUUCUCUUCUGUGAGGCUGCUGUUCUUCACUUCUUCCUGAGAGGACUGAACCAUCCUGAAGGGAUCCUGUCGCUUUCUGAGUGAAUUACUUCUGAUAUCUCACUUGUAAUCUGAAGCAUGGAACCAAGUCUCAUUUCAGGCAAGUUUUACUAAUUGUUUCAAUGGACUAAAUAUAAAUUGCAUGAAAAAAGAAAAGGUUGGGCAGCAAAAACCAAGCCUUUCUACUGAUAUGAAGGCUUAGCCUUCUGCUGGACUUGUUCUCAUAGAUUGCACUCAGGAGUCUGGAUGGUUUUGUGGGUGACUUCUCUUUCCAUUUCAGACAUUUAAACUCCCAUUUGAAUGAGGUUUGGUGUAGUGAGCUAAAGCAGGUCAGACUUAGUGCAUUUGAACAUUUGAACAGUGUAACAGAGUCCCACCUUCCUGUGCCUCUAUGUAAGAGCUGAGGAACAUGUCCCAAGACCUGGAGGUACUCAAUGUCCCCAGACCUGACAAAGGGAAGGUUGGGUCUCUGAUACAGAAAUCACCGAACCGCCUGUUUAAAUGAUGCUAAGCCUCCUCAGUUACCUUGAGACAUUUCAGAGUUAAACUUUAAAUUCAUCUUUUAUAUCUUAUUAAACUUUUUUUUUUUUCAUAGAAGAAGACUGGAUAUUUGAGGUUUAGUUCAACUACUGUAAGCCAGGGACAAUCAAAACCAUAUAUUGUGAUGCUUCUCAAGUUUUCUUCCUAAUUUAUGAAGACUGUGUGGGAGAAGACAACAAUCUGUACUCAGGAGAAAUGCAGUGAAUCAGCCUGUUCCUUAUGGUGAAAUGUUCUUUUAAGCAGCUGCUGUACCUUGUAGAAAUAAAAAAUAACAACAAAAACA
rnacentral:lncRNA from 1 species